AGAGACAGGUCAUUAAGGAGCAGGUAGGGGUUAGACAGUACAGAGACAGGUCAUUAAGGAGCAGGUAGGGGUUAGACAGUACAGAGACAGGUCAUUAAGGAACAGGUAGGGGUUAGACAGUACAGAGACAGGUCAUUAAGGAGCAGGUAGGGGUUAGACAGUAGAGAGACAGGUCAUUAAGGAGCAGGUAGGGGUUAGACAGUACAGAGACGGGUCAUUAAGGAGCAGGUAGGGGUUAGACAGUACAGAGACAGGUCAUUAAGGAGCAGGUAGGGGUUAGACAGUACAGAGACAGGUCAUUAAGGAGCAGGUAGGGGUUAGACAGUACAGAGACGGGUCAUUAAGGAGCAGGUAGGGGUUAGACAGUACAGAGACGGGUCAGGAGCAGGUAGGGGUUAGACAGUACAGAGGCGGGUCAUUAAGGAGCAGGUAGGGGUUAGACAGUACAGAGACAGGUCAUUAAGGAGCAGGUAGGGGUUAGACAGUACAGAGACAGGUCAUUGAGGAGCAGGUAGGGG
ensembl:lncRNA